rnacentral:rRNA from 1 species
ACCUGGUGACAGGAUGCGAAUCUCGAAAGCCGGUCUCAGUUCGGAUUGGAGGCUGAAACUCGCCUCCAUGAAGUUGGAUUCGCUAGUAAUCGCGCAUCAGCCAUGGCGCGGUGAAUACGUUCCCGGGCCUUGUACACACCGCCCGUCAAGCCAUGGGAGUUGGGGGUGCCUGAAGUACGUGACCGCAAGGAGCGUCCUAGGGCAAAACCGAUGACUGGGGCUAAGUCGUAACAAGGUAGC